GGCGACCAGAGCAAGUAUGAGCGCAGCAGAGGUCAUUACCGAGAGUUGUAGGCUUUUGUCUACCAUCUCUUACCCAUGUCUUUUGCGUACUACACGUUUCCUCGGCAGGUCCGCCUGCCGUUAGGACCACAUUAAACCAUUUGCAGUUGCAGUCAGCGUCUGAAAAACAUAAUAAUUACAACUUUCAACAACGGAUCUCUUGGUUCUGGCAUCGAUGAAGAACGCAGCGAAAUGCGAUAAGUAGUGUGAAUUGCAGAAUUCAGUGAAUCAUCGAAUCUUUGAACGCACAUUGCGCCCCUUGGUAUUCCAUGGGGCAUGCCUGUUCGAGCGUCAUUUGUACCUUCAAGCUAUGCUUGGUGUUGGGUGUUUGUCCCGCCUUUGUGCGCGGACUCGCCUUAAAGCAAUUGGCAGCCGGCGUAUAGGUUUCGGAGCGCAGCACAAUCCGCGCUUUGUGUCCAUUACGACGACGUCCAUUAAGCCUUUUUUACACUCUUGACCUCGGAUCAGGUAGGGAUACCCGCUGAACUUAAGCAUAUCAAUAAAGCCGGAGGAA
rnacentral:rRNA from 1 species